GGUGGCUGGUGGUUGGCAACGUAUGGAUGGAAACUUAUGCUUGAAAACGGCAUCACGCCAGCACUGGGUGUGUUGGGAGCAUGCAACGAACGGGUAGGACAAUGGUUGUGAGUUUCUGUGCCAGUGGGUUAAUGUUUGAUAUGUGUUCUUUCCUUCGAGGCGCACUCUGUGUUGGAGUCGACGAAUAAUGGUGAAAGUUGCAGUUGUGUUUCGAUCGGGUUGUUUUCGAAUAUUGAUCUACUGGAUUGAGACGGAGGGUUAAAGCAAAACUUAUAGAAUGGGGAGAGAAUAAAAAAAUGCCGUUCUGAAAACGAAGGCAUCACCCAUUCGAUUGAAUCAGGUUUUGAAGCAGUAACAGAGUGGAAAGGAAUCCGGAUACGACUCCAGUGACCGUGCUCAGACCUACCCAUGCAAACACUUCCGGACACCGUAUCGUGUUCCGAAAACCAGCCGUACGAAGGCAAAAAUUCCAAAACGGAAAUGUCCUAAUAGGGCUCUCAUUGCUUUUCACUCGGUCUUCGAACGGAAAGGUACCAUUUCUUCUCCGAACCAGAAUCGCUCCAAUUAUUGCUUAAAGCUCUAUCGAUAUCGCUCUAUCGAGCUAGAAACUGUAGUACUUUAAGAAGAAAUAGAACUUUUCCUUCAAUGAUUCCUCCUUUUCGAUGGAGGUAUUUUAA